UACGUAGGGUGCGAGCGUUGUCCGGAAUUAUUGGGCGUAAAGGGCUCGUAGGCGGUUUGUCGCGUCGGGAGUGAAAUCAUCUGGCUUAACUGGGUGCUUGCUUUCGAUACGGGCAGACUAGAGGUAUGCAGGGGAGAACGGAAUUCCUGGUGUAGCGGUGAAAUGCGCAGAUAUCAGGAGGAACACCAGUGGCGAAGGCGGUUACCUGGAGCUUUGCUGACGCUGAUGCGCGAAAGCGUGGGGAGCGAUCCGG
rnacentral:rRNA from 1 species